ACAUUUAAUCAUGUCAUGUAUAAAAAAGAGAAAUCAAACAAAUCAUAUCAUAUCAUGCUUUUUUUUUCAUCUUUUACUUAUUCUUCGUGGGAAGCUUUCUGACCUUUAUCGACUGAGGGCAAUACAGAUUUUUUACUACCACUGUGGAUGAGAAUUUUAUUUCACAUUAUUUUCAGCGUAUUUGUGGCUUGCCAAACUAUGACACAUUCUAUGAC
rnacentral:lncRNA from 1 species